AAAAGUCUCUUUUUUCCUAAUUGGUAGGAAAGCAGAAGAAUUUGAAAUGUCUGACCUAGACUCACUUUUUUAGGGCUUAAAAUCUGAAUCCUCAGUGAACCUGGGGAAGAAAGAACGAUGAAGUCCUCAAGAGUUUUACUGGUGAUCCUGUGGCUUCAGUUAACCUGGAUGAGGAGUCAACAGAAUAGAGUGGAGCAGAGUCCCGGAUCUCUGAGCCUUCGGGAGGGAGAUGCUGCCUCUCUCAACUGCACUUACAGCGACAGUGCUUCCCAGUACUUCACGUGGUACAGACAGUAUUCCGGGAAGGGCCCUGAGUUGCUGAUGUACAUGUACUCCAAAGCUGGCUGACGUUGUGCAGAGAAGAAACCAUGACAAAAAGAGGCCAGAAGAGGAAGACUCCUUCUUACAGUCAUUGAAAUUCAUCAAAGCCACGGACUUGUCCAGCCCCACCUCCCCACUCUUCCUGUAGCUCUGAAGGCUCAGUGAUCUCGGCUACUGUCCCACCUGCUCAGGAAGCCCAGAGUGGCUCCACUGCUCAG